CACUGAACUCACAACCUGACCAACCGCACACUACGGCACCCGGCACCUCUAUUGCCGUUUCGCUGACCGCCACUUCAUCCGCUACGCCAUCGCCUACAUUAACGCCGACACCCGCCAGCACUGCUGAGUCCGUUCGGCAGGUUUUGUUGGGCAGGAUUAAUGCCGUGCGGGCCGCGCAGAAUAUGCCACCCUACAAACUAAAUCCAUAUCUGAUUGCUGCGGCACAAAAUCAGGCCGAGUGGCUGGUGAGCACUGGUGAAGUGGUCCACAUGCACGAGGACGGCAGCACACCCGCCAAACGUGCCGAGGCUG
rnacentral:misc_RNA from 1 species